GCGUAAUUAGUCUAGUGGUAAGUUACUCAGUCUCACCCACUAGGGCUGGGUUCGAUUCCCAGAUUACGCA